AUGGUGGAGGAACCGUCCGCCAAGCAUCAUCAUGGCGAUACGUCGGACAAGAAAAACAACCUCGUCGACGUUCACGUUCCCGGCGAGAAGCGCGAGUACACCAAAACGCUCAAAGGGGUUGAGCUCCAUGGCAAGGAGAUGCUGGAGAUCGUCUGCACCAGCGUACUAGACAAGGCCGAUGAGGUGAUGAGCAGGCUCAGGAUGAAGGGCGGUGGCUUGUAUCCGAGCUUCAUCGGAGUUGAUGUGAAGCCCAAGCGCCUCAAAGACUUCCUGCAGGAGGAGAAAUUGUACACAUUUGUCGGUUUCAGCAUUGGAGGUGACAAAGCGGAUGCUGGACAAGUCUGGUUUGGAGAUCAACCCCAACAACUUCAUCGACAUGCAGCGCAAUUAGAAAGAUCCAAAACCAACAAAUAG
rnacentral:rRNA from 1 species